CCGUAGGUGAACUGCGGAAGGAUCAUUAAAAAUUCAUUAAAGUCUCUCUCCUCCCUAAUCCUACAUAAUCUAUUGUGUAAAACGGGGAGGAAUUGAGGGCACUUUCGUGCAAUGAUGGUAUAAACCUUUAUUACUCUUCUCCCUCCCUAUAGUAAAAUAUGGGGAGUGUGUGAAGUGUUUAAACAUCUUGAACCAAACCAAACCAUACUAAUCUUUACAAUUAAUAUGCACUGGCAUAAUCCGGUGUGUAUCCUAAUUUAACACAACUGUUAACAACGGAUCACUCGGUUCUCACGUCGAUGAAGAGCGUAGCGAAUUGCGAAAAGUAAUGCGAUCUGCACCCAUCGUGGAUCAUCGAAUCCUUGAACGCACUCUGCACCCAAUGGUACCCCCAUGGGUAUGCCUGAUUGAGUCCCUGUAAUAUCAUCAAAAGGGUUUUCUCUUUUGGAAUUGGACUCUCUCCCCGUGUCUUCGGACUUGGGGUGGUCUUAAAUGUAGGACACUGAAUACGCGCCUAUCCAAGUGCACGUACUCUCACCACUCUUGGUGUCCACCUUUUCAUGGGAGUAAAAUCCCUAAACCCAUAUCGUUCGGUAACCCUCUCUCGGGGGGGUUACCUCACUCUUUUACUUUUACUUGAGUGUAUCGUAUGGUGUAUUGGUCGGGGUCCUGGAUUAGGGGAAACCCUCUUUCAGAUCACGAAUUUCACGCUUUACGAUCCAUUUGAGUGAGGGGGAAAGGGGGAUGGUACGGGGAAAGAGGAUGUGAUAACUUGAGUAUAGGGAUUGUACAAGUAUGAGGAUCUUGAGUUGUGUGUAGGAGGUAGCUUGACCAUGCGAAGCUUUUGGGAGUUAAAUCCCCCUUUGCAUAAUCAAAUUAACAUUUGGGCUCAGUUAGGUAGAGUACCCGCUGACUA
rnacentral:rRNA from 1 species